GCGGGACACGUGGUAUCCUGUCUGAAUAUGGGGGGACCAUCCUCCAAGGCUAAAUACUCCUGACUGACCGAUAGUGAACCAGUACCGUGAGGGAAAGGCGAAAAGAACCCCGGCGAGGGGAGUGAAAAAGAACCUGAAACCGUGUACGUACAAGCAGUGGGAGCCUCUUAAUGGGGUGACUGCGUACCUUUUGUAUAAUGGGUCAGCGACUUAUAUUCUGUAGCAAGGUUAACCGAAUAGGGGAGCCGAAGGGAAACCGAGUCUUAACUGGGCGUUAAGUUGCAGGGUAUAGACCCGAAACCCGGUGAUCUAGCCAUGGGCAGGUUGAAGGUUGGGUAACACUAACUGGAGGACCGAACCGACUAAUGUUGAAAAAUUAGCGGAUGACUUGUGGCUGGGGGUGAAAGGCCAAUCAAACCGGGAGAUAGCUGGUUCUCCCCGAAAGCUAUUUAGGUAGCGCCUCGUGAAUUCAUCUCCGGGGGUAGAGCACUGUUUCGGCAAGGGGGUCAUCCCGACUUACCAACCCGAUGCAAACUGCGAAUACCGGAGAAUGUUAUCACGGGAGACACACGGCGGGUGCUAACGUCCGUCGUGAAGAGGGAAACAACCCAGACCGCCAGCUAAGGUCCCAAAGUCAUGGUUAAGUGGGAAACGAUGUGGGAAGGCCCAGACAGCCAGGAUGUUGGCUUAGAAGCAGCCAUCAUUUAAAGAAAGCGUAAUAGCUCACUGGUCGAGUCGGCCUGCGCGGAAGAUGUAACGGGGCUAAACCAUGCACCGAAGCUGCGGCAGCGACACUAUGUGUUGUUGGGUAGGGGAGCGUUCUGUAAGCCUGUGAAGGUGGCCUGUGAGGGUUGCUGGAGGUAUCAGAAGUGCGAAUGCUGACAUAAGUAACGAUAAAGCGGGUGAAAAGCCCGCUCGCCGGAAGACCAAGGGUUCCUGUCCAACGUUAAUCGGGGCAGGGUGAGUCGACCCCUAAGGCGAGGCCGAAAGGCGUAGUCGAUGGGAAACAGGUUAAUAUUCCUGUACUUGGUGUUACUGCGAAGGGGGGACGGAGAAGGCUAUGUUGGCCGGGCGACGGUUGUCCCGGUUUAAGCGUGUAGGCUGGUUUUCCAGGCAAAUCCGGAAAACCAAGGCUGAGGCGUGAUGACGAGGCACUACGGUGCUGAAGCGACAAAUGCCCUGCUUCCAGGAAAAGCCUCUAAGCAUCAGGUAACAUCAAAUCGUACCCCAAACCGACACAGGUGGUCAGGUAGAGAAUACCAAGGCGCUUGAGAGAACUCGGGUGAAGGAACUAGGCAAAAUGGUGCCGUAACUUCGGGAGAAGGCACGCUGAUAUGUAGGUGAAGCGACUUGCUCGUGGAGCUGAAAUCAGUCGAAGAUACCAGCUGGCUGCAACUGUUUAUUAAAAACACAGCACUGUGCAAACACGAAAGUGGACGUAUACGGUGUGACGCCUGCCCGGUGCCGGAAGGUUAAUUGAUGGGGUUAGCGGUAACGCGAAGCUCUUGAUCGAAGCCCCGGUAAACGGCGGCCGUAACUAUAACGGUCCUAAGGUAGCGAAAUUCCUUGUCGGGUAAGUUCCGACCUGCACGAAUGGCGUAAUGAUGGCCAGGCUGUCUCCACCCGAGACUCAGUGAAAUUGAACUCGCUGUGAAGAUGCAGUGUACCCGCGGCAAGACGGAAAGACCCCGUGAACCUUUACUAUAGCUUGACACUGAACAUUGAGCCUUGAUGUGUAGGAUAGGUGGGAGGCUUUGAAGUGUGGACGCCAGUCUGCAUGGAGCCGACCUUGAAAUACCACCCUUUAAUGUUUGAUGUUCUAACGUGGGCCCGUAAUCCGGGUUGCGGACAGUGUCUGGUGGGUAGUUUGACUGGGGCGGUCUCCUCCUAAAGAGUAACGGAGGAGCACGAAGGUUGGCUAAUCCUGGUCGGACAUCAGGAGGUUAGUGCAAUGGCAUAAGCCAGCUUGACUGCGAGCGUGACGGCGCGAGCAGGUGCGAAAGCAGGUCAUAGUGAUCCGGUGGUUCUGAAUGGAAGGGCCAUCGCUCAACGGAUAAAAGGUACUCCGGGGAUAACAGGCUGAUACCGCCCAAGAGUUCAUAUCGACGGCGGUGUUUGGCACCUCGAUGUCGGCUCAUCACAUCCUGGGGCUGAAGUAGGUCCCAAGGGUAUGGCUGUUCGCCAUUUAAAGUGGUACGCGAGCUGGGUUUAGAACGUCGUGAGACAGUUCGGUCCCUAUCUGCCGUGGGCGCUGGAGAACUGAGGGGGGCUGCUCCUAGUACGAGAGGACCGGAGUGGACGCAUCACUGGUGUUCGGGUUGUCAUGCCAAUGGCACUGCCCGGUAGCUAAAUGCGGAAGAGAUAAGUGCUGAAAGCAUCUAAGCACGAAACUUGCCCCGAGAUGAGUUCUCCCUGACUCCUUGAGAGUCCUGAAGGAACGUUGAAGACGACGACGUUGAUAGGCCGGGUGUGUAAGCGCAGCGAUGCGUUGAGCUAACCGGUACUAAUGAACCGUGAGGCUUAACCUU
rnacentral:rRNA from 1 species